AUCGUUACACUCCCCUUUUUAAUAAAAAGGCACUUUCAUAAAGUGUCUUUUUCAACAAACUCAUAAGGAAUGUCGUAUUAAAUUUGGUUCCCAUUUUCCAAUGAUGAAAAUUUGCUCUUCACCUUUUACCUUUCAAAUCUUAGGAGUUAGGAAUUUAGUGGCUUCUUAUGAAUAGACCUUUUGUGUUGCCAUUGGUUGCGUAAAAUUUUUGUAUUUACAUGACGAUCUGUCUUCUGUUUACAUGAUUAUAUACAUUUUACACAUGAGCUCCUUGAUGAUUUGAGUUUUUCAAUAGUGGAAAUUGCAAUGUUAAUAGAAUAGACAAAGACACGAAAAUGAAGCCCGGAAAUAGCUUUAAUUCAUACGAAGAAUUAGAACAUGCCAUUCGCAAAUAUGAAAUUGAAAACUUCGUUUUACUCUCUAAAAGAGAUUCCAGAACGAUUGCGAGUGCUAGAACAAGCAAGAAAAUUAACCCUGAGUUAAAAUAUCAAGAGUUAAAGUUCACCUGCAUACAUGGUGGUAAAAACUUCAAAUCUAAAGGGACUGGUAAACGAGAAAGAAGAACAUUUCAACAAAACUGUCCGAUGAUGAUGCGAUUCAGAGUUUCAACAAAUGGCAAAAGCCUAGAAUUAAAGCAAAUGACUGAAGUCCACAAUCACGAAGUAAACCCGAUAUGGUUCAAACAUUACAACCGACAAAGAAGACUCGAUCCAGAAGUUGAAACUGAGAUCUUAGACCAAUUUAAACUCAAUUGCAAUAAACGAAAAAUACAAGUGGAAAUGACUAAAAGGACUGGAAAAAUAAUAACCUUACGAGACCUAACUAAUAUCAAAGCAAAGUUAAGAAACAAAAAGAAAGAUCCUGUAGAAAAAUUACCAACAGAAAGCAAUGCAUCGACAACACAGCCAUUUGAAGAGAAGCGAAAACAACUUUUUUCAAUAACUAAUGAACUGGCUGAAUUAGGAGCGCUGCAUUCAAACGACAUAUUCCAAUUAAGAAAACAAAAUCUCCAAACUCUACUACAAAUGUGGAAGAAAGGAAUCGAAGUUAAAAUAAGCCCCAUUCAAGAACUGGGAGAGCUCUGCGUUCAAACGAUAUGUUCUAAUGAAGAAAAUAAAAGUUGAAAUUCUAAUAAGCGUUAGGAAGAAAGUAAAUUGAAGUGAAAUAAUUAUCCUUUAAGAAGUGAAACUGAAAAUGAAAGAGAUUAUUACAGUGUAAAAAUAAAUCUCUAAUCAACGCAAAGCAGUUUCUUUUAAUGCGUAAGAACAUUUAAAACCAAAAAAUUAAAAUGUACAAGCUCGUAACAAGCGGAUAAUUAAUUUAAUUGUUUACGCCGUUUCCUAUUUUGUAUAAAAUAUAUUGGAUCAAAUCUA